UCUUCCGUAGUAUAGUGGUCAGUAUGCAAGCUUGUCACGCUUGAGACCGGUUCAAUUCCCGGCGGGAGAG
rnacentral:tRNA from 1 species